ensembl:lncRNA
GUUUGUACUGAUGGCUUUACAUGGAUGAAGGACAAAGAGAAUGAAUGCCGAUCUGAUUUCUCAUGGAGGUUCUCUGUACUCCAGAUCUUGUGAAAAUCAGUUCUCUUGUGGAGUGCCAAAAGAGUCUUAGUUUUCACUGUGCUCAAGUGUGGCUGAAGAUUAUACUCGAAGAAUUCAGUAAGCUACGGGAACUUAAUCCGGCUUCAAUAAUUGCACCCUGGUAGAAGACAUGGAGACAGGAAGAAAUAGUAUUGGCCUCUGUCUAGCUCCAAACAAAUUCAAGACUCAAACCAGUAAGAGAGCAACUGAACAACACCACUUCCGGGUAAAUAUAAUAGUCAAAGCAAACAUGACCUAAACCUCUUGAGAGAACCACAUUGAAGAAAUAAUCGGUAUACUUAAAGUAAUUUUUCAGGCGUGUCAGGAGGAAGCAUAAGGAAAAAGGUAAUCAUCAUAAGGACCGAAUUCCUGAGGAAGCUACGCAAUAAUCGUUAAAUCGUUAAACAGCCAAAUUAUACACAAGAAAAGGCAGUACUUCAGCAGAAAGAACUAUGUUGGUACAAAUGAAGUAAGAAGUUAUUGUUUGGUUUCUGUGACCUGUGUAAGUGAUAAUUUAGAAAGAAAAGUAGGCAAAAAAGCAACAAAUAGAUAUAUAUAUAUUGAUACUUUUGGGUAUCCCAAUGUAAAUAUAUAGCCCAAAUGAAAAAAUAUAUAUAUUUUCAAACUGAGUAAAUUGAAAAGAUGAAAGCCAUUUUAUUCUUCUGAAAUAAACAAAUACAUAAAUAAAUAAAAAUCUUGGUCAGCAGCAGAGUAAAUAUUUUUAGGAAAAGAAAGAUAUUCAAUAUGCCAGAAUUCAAGUUUAAUGGCUUUAAUAUUGCAUUUGCUUGUAUGUCUAUAACACUUCUGUUAGACAGGUCAUGUUGCUGCCAUUUACCUGGGUGUUUGGUCUUGUUUAGUUUUUGAAUCAGUGCUCUUCAAGAAAAUUAAGAAAUGUGAUUUCUUUAAAAGGUAAAUGGAUGCAUACUUCAAAGAGAGUCUAAAGAUGAAGAUUGUACCAGAUACUCGUUUAUGAUAUUUGAACUUGCCCUUCAUUCAGAAAAAUAAUUUGUUGUGUUGGUAUACUGCGAUGCAAGAACUGCAUUCUUACUGGUAUUUUCCAAAUACAGACUUCUCUGAUAAAUAAAAUAUUUUGUUUUUAUCCUUUACACAUGAAAUUUUCAUUUAUUUUCCAAUUGCCCCAUUUGACCGAUUAUGGUGAAAUUACUCUAUUUUGCAAAGAGAUGGAACAAUUUGAUAACAUUAUAAAGAUCGAAUACUUGAUCAUUGUUCUUUAUAGACAAAUAGAGAAACACAUUUGAUUAUUG